UACGUAGGGUGCGAGCGUUGUCCGGAAUUAUUGGGCGUAAAGGGCGCGUAGGUGGCGGCUUAAGCGUGCGGUGAAAGCUCGGGGCUCAACCCCGAGUCGGCCGUGCGAACUGAGUCGCUUGAGCACUGUAGAGGCAGGCGGAAUUCCGGGUGUAGCGGUGGAAUGCGUAGAGAUCCGGAAGAACACCGGUGGCGAAGGCGGCCUGCUGGGCAGUAGCUGACACUGAGGCGCGACAGCGUGGGGAGCAAACAGG
rnacentral:rRNA from 1 species